UGCCAGCAGCCGCGGUAAUAGGUAGGAUCCCAGCGUUAUCCGGAAUUAUUGGGUUUAAAGGGUCCGCAGGCUGUUUGUUAAGUCAGGGGUGAAAUCCUACCGCUCAACGGUAGAACUGCCUUUGAUACUGGCAAACUUGAGUUAUUGUGAAGUAGUUAGAAUGUGUAGUGUAGCGGUGAAAUGCAUAGAUAUUACACAGAAUACCAAUUGCGAAGGCAGAGUACUAACAAUUAACUUACGCUGAGGGACUACAGCUUGGGUAGCGAACAGGAUUAGAUA
rnacentral:rRNA from 1 species